GUCGCGCGAUCUGGGUCUUACAAGUAUAAGUAGUCAAGUAUAACGGGUCUCAUUGCUCUUGCUUUCCGACCAAAUUAAUACCCGCUUCUGCUAUAUGAAGAUUAUGUUUAGACAAACACUGGUAGUUGCAGCUCCGGUCUAUAAUCUGUCUUUUGAAGUUGGCCGUAAGUCAUGUUUAGAGACCAUCUGACUAGUGAUUUGCAUCAAGCUCUUAAGGGAUAUUAGAGGCGAAUGCGACAAAUUGGAUUUUGAUGGAGUAUCUCGUAAUGACACAAGUAGUACGCCGCACGACAUCUCGAAGGUUAAGCAGGAAUCUUCUGAAACAGUGCUCUGCCGAGUAUAUAAGGAGCCGCACCGCCUAUAAUAUUAGUUGUGAGUUCAGUGAAGUAAAAUUGGGAAUAUUGGCGCGAAAUUUAAAUAGUUAUAAAUAUAUACAGUACAGUACAGUGUUUUCGUAGUGAAGUGUGUAAAUAAAUUAGUUUUUUAAAAAUU